AUCUUUGUUGUCUCUUCACAAUGAGAACUUGGUGGAGACCCUGGGAGUAAAACCCCUGCAAGUGUGAAGCUGCUCUGAAAAGAUGUCUGAAGUCCAGGAGUCCCUCUUCAAGGAGUGUCACUGAAACUGACUGAUGACUGCCAGAGUGACACCAGAAAACUCUAACUCAUCAUCAUAAAAGACAGAAACAUUCCUUCUCUUUAUUAGCCUCCUCCCCUCAUUUCCUUCACUCUGUAUCCAAGAUGCAGAAAGUUAAUUGUUGAGUUUCACUUCCCCAAAAAUAAACAUUUCCUUCACUGUUCAA